GAUGAAGAACGCAGCGAAAUGCGAUAAGUAGUGUGAAUUGCAGAAUUCAGUGAAUCAUCGAAUCUUUGAACGCACAUUGCGCCCCUUGGUAUCCCGAGGGGCAUGCCUGUUCGAGCGUCAUUUCACCACUCAAGCCUGGCUUGGUGUUGGGCGACGUCCCCUUUAGGGACGCGCCUCGAAACGCUCGGCGGCGUGGCACCGGCUUUAAGCGUAGCAGAAUCUUUCGCUUUGGAAGUCGGGGCCCCGCCUGCCGGAAUACCUACUCGUAAGGUUGACCUCGGAUCAGGCAGGGGUACCCGCUGAACUUAAGCAUAUCAAUAAGCGGAGGA
rnacentral:misc_RNA from 1 species